rnacentral:other from 1 species
GACUUCCUGGGACGUGCGAGAAGGUUGCGCAUAAUUAUCCAACAUUAAGUACUCGGGACCGCCGGGUCACCCCCGUGGCUGUCGGGCCGGCUAGACCGGAUGGCAAAAGCGGGGUGCAGGCAACCCACCUAACAUUGUUAGGGUACUUAUUGGCAACCGAAACGGCGCCCCGGGGGUUCU